UUCGCAAUGCCCGAAAGGGUGACGAAGCGACGCCGCGUGGGUGAGGAAGGCCUUCGGGUUGUAAAGCCCUGUCAGGAGUUAAGAAAUGUAAGUGUGCUAAUAUCGCAUUUACUUGACGAAGGCUCCAAAGGGAGUCACGGCUAACUCUGUGCCAGCAGCCGCGGUAAUACAGAGGUGGCAAGCGUUGUUCGGAAUUAUUGGGCGUAAAGAGCACGUAGGUGGGUUUGUAAGUCAGAUGUGAAAGCCUCCUGUUCAACGGGAGAAUUGCAUCUGAAACUACUGAUCUUGAGUAUAGGAGGGGAGAAUGGAACUUCUGGUGGAGCGGUGAAAUGCGUAGAUAUCAGAAGGAACGCCGGCGGCGAAAGCGAUUCUCUGGCCUAUUACUGACACUCAGUGUGCGAAAGCUAGGGGAGCAAACGGGAUUAGAUACCCCGGUAGUCCUAGCCGUAAACGAUGGGCACUAAGUAGAGGGGUUUU
rnacentral:rRNA from 2 species